rnacentral:lncRNA from 1 species
AUUCAGUAGUACCGCUUCCUUCAUGGCUCAUAACAAUAAGUUAGCAACAGUUACGUCAGGAAAGUGUUAGAGGUGCAAACGCCUCCAGAACCUGCGUGUGAACUUUGUUCAAGGCAACAGUCAUUUGGCAAGGUGAGAAGCAAGAUGAACGUGGUACAAGAUCAACCCUUCUGGACGUGAACUUGGUGCUCAUCCAACCAUUGAGUUGCGUUGGCCUCUGUGUGUGUGACAACAGAACAUCAUCAACAAGUAAGUCUAGAUUAUAAUGUCAAGAAAACGUGUUCUCCUGAACUGGACUAAUUUUUAGCUCAGCUCCAUUCUAGUAGAAGUUCCUACUGAUGCUUUCCAAGUCCUUAAGAGCUCACCAGCCCUGCAACACCACCAUCCAAUCUCAGUCCUGGCACGGAUGAAAGGUAGAGUAGGACUCCACUGGUACUGGUUUGAGUUAUUUUGGCAUUGUGUGCUGUGUCCCAGUAAACAGCCAACACUUUCCAUGUGUCUGCAGGAGGAGCUGUUUUAUUGCUUUCGGGUUGGAUUUAAGGGUUGGGAGAAACUAGCCCCUGAAUUCAAGGUCCACAGAACGGUGCAACAUUUAGAGCAGAGCGAUGGGCUUGUUGCCUUGAGGGUUCAUGUACUGAGCUGCUGCUAUGUUGUCCACGGAGGUGUAAGUGGUAUAAAGGCCUGUGACCUGAAAGUCUGACAAGGAGUGAUCGCUGCCACUGGAAAUGGGGGUGAGGCCAGGAGUGCCCAGGUCACAGUCUGAGAGGUGCAGGGGAGAGUUGCUGAAGGCACCCAGGGUGUCAAGGCUGAAGCUGUCAUCUUUCAUUUCCUCCCAUAUGUUACCUUUAAAAGAUUAAAUUCCAGUCACAGCAACAUAUCCAACCUGUUCAGGCACGGUGUGGGGUGGGGGUCAGUCCUUAGCUAAAGGGUUUUACGUGCUGUUUAGAAACAGCACAGUUUGCAGAUCUGGAGUGCAAAGGCAGUCAGCAUCUGUUCCCCCACAGCCCUCUGGGCUCCAGCAAUUCAGUCCUUCCUGGACAGCAGCAAUCUACCAUGUGCUGACCAGAAUGAAACCCAAGGAUCAUGCUAAGGAUCUCCAUAAGCCAAAGGUUUACAAAUAGGAGAAACCAAGGCACAAGUAGAGCUAUG